UAUAAGUUGUGCCAAACAUCAUUUUUAGUUUUCAUGCUUGACCAAAUACAUAAAUUCUAGAUAUUAAUUCAUAGUCUGAAUAUAAGGAAAAUCUCUUUCUUACCUGUAUAUUCUCUCGAGAAGGGUAAAGCUAGUGCAGUGAUAAGAGCUAUAUCACUGAGUCACUAGGUCACCGUUUGAAGCAGGCUCUCCAUAUUUGCGGUGAAAGGCUUGUCUUGGUUUAUCUUUUUCUCAGACCCCCACUCAUAUGGUUAUCUCUUUUCUAGACCUCACUCAUAUGGGAGCCUCUAGGGUCUGCCUGUAAAUUCUCUCUAAGUUUUCACUUACUGAAUGGUCUCUAAACAUUUUUAUUUUUAUUUUUUUUGCUUGCAAAUUGUUAGCGAAUUCACUGUGCACCGGUGGUAGCUGGAUGAUAGUGGCUUAAUGCCUUUACUGUUUAGUUGCUUAAAUACCUUUACUGCUCGGUAGCUUAAUGCUUUCAGUGCUCAAUGGCUGGAAGCCUUGGGCCUUGCCAUGGCCAACGCAUGGGAAUUCUCCCUGGCUGUCGGCUAGCCUUCCAGCUUCCUCCCCUCUUUACUUCUGUUCUGAACUCGCUCUUCGCUAUAUAUGUAAUCCUAUUCUCUAGACUUUAUCAAGGAAUAUAAUUCAGCUUCUUCGAGCUUUAUCACUAAUGGUUUGCUGAGUAAAGUACACGAACUUUGGUGUUGAGAGUGUACACCCACACAUCCCGCCAACAGAGCUAGGCUUGACAACAAGAUUCAGUCACCAUUCAGGAUUCAUAGUUUCAGAAAUCAGAACUUCAGUUUUCAGUGUCAUCAGCCUGUUGCUGGUUUUUCAUCAGUUUCAUCAGUGUUAAGUCUAUUUUCUGUUAGCUUGUUCUUCUCGAACUUGUAGCCGAGUUGGUUGAGCCCAUUUAGCGAUUGGGCACGUUUUUAGGGAGAUCAUGGUCAUGUGAAACUAGUGCUGAACUUAAGCUACGUGAUGGCACGGUUGGUUAGAAAAAACUCGACCGAUUUCAUGGGUCAAUAUAAUGUCUGUAAGUGUUCUCGUUUUGUGUAAUAUAGAUCAAGGGGUCAGAAAAGCGGUUUAAAACCGCACCAAACUUCUCUGUGUUCCACUGUCGUGUCUCGUGUUCUCGUUCUCAACUCCGGCGUCCACAUUCGGCAUUGGUCGGAACAAGGCUCAGUCUUCAAUUUAAAGUUUUAUAUACUUGAGAGUAUACAAAAUAGUUGAAUCCAUUCUAUUGGAGAGCGAAUGAACAGUAGUCACUACAGUAAACCCUAACCCUAACAGAUAUAUACCCCUAGUGGGCUGUGGGCUAGGCCCAUGUACACAGGUAGCUAACACAUUCUUCUUGGCCUAUUUUUUGCUUAUAAUGAAACCCUCUUGGCCUAUUUCUUAAAAGGAAAACUAAAAACUAUGCAAAAACUAUAUGUAUGUAAGUUGGACUAUGAGAAACAGGACAUUU